rnacentral:lncRNA from 1 species
AAUGAGGGAGAUGAAUAAUGUAUCCCAUAUUUGAAGAAACACUCCCAUUAUGAGGGUGGGUACAAGGUUGGAGAUGGCGUUAGGCGCGAGGUCAGCUUUUUCUUUCGUCUCCGUUCGCUCAUCACCUCUAAAAGAACUCGCCUGUUCUUCUUCCAUCAACUCCACCUCGUUCUCCAAAAAUCGGAUCUUAACCCCAAAAAUUCCUAAGUUCAUUAGAGACCCCUAAAAAAGGCUAGCGCCCCUGAACAUAGGAGACCCCCCCGCCCAAACGUCUUCUUCUCCAUUCACUCUCUCACUCAUACACGCUCUUCCCUAACACACACACGCCGAAGCCUCUAGCAACAAGUGGAAAUUACAAAGUUUAGAGCUAAAAUUCAAAAAUUGCAAAGCUGAUUUUCAGUUUCAAUUCCUUGUCUUCUCUAACAUUUUCUGGGGAUUUCAGAGCUUGGUGGAGCUGUAGAAUUUGUUUCGAAGCAGAGAGUUUGAUUUGAACUCAAAUCUCUAUUCGAUUCCGCUGAUUUUACCAUUUCGGGAACUGUGAGCUUCGGUCGAGUUCGCAUCUGCAUUUGGUCUGUUUACUCGAGUUCUUUGUUCAACCAGGUAUUUUGCCUAAUUCUUGUGAACUUAUGAAAUGAAUGAAGUUUUCAUGGUGGUAUGAUUGUUGUAGUGAAGUUGAGUUGUGAUUAUGGGUUUCUCUGUUAAUGGACUUAUAAUGCUUUAAAGUUUGAGAUUCUGCGAGUCUUUCAUAAUCCCAUGAGCAUCCAUGAUUCAUUAUUCCCUUUUGUGUAAUUUAUUUUAGAUCAAAAUGGUCCGUAUCUAACCCACCUGUGGUGAUUUCGAUGUGCUCAAGUCAGCAGUGGGAAUUUAUUUGUUAGCUAUGGCUAAGUCAACAUGUACUUGAUUUAAUAUAUGUUAGCCAUUAAAAAACCCGUAUCUUCAUUUUAUUGAUUUUCCAUUGGAGAUUGUAAGAUUUUAGACUACUUAUGAAGAGGAAUAGAUUUGAGGUUUCCUGCUAUGGAUUUCUUUAGUUUAAAGGUUCAGCUAAAGGCGUGAGGAUUCUAAAUGGAGAAACUAUUUCGUUUUGUUUUUGGAAUUUGUUUAAAAGAGUUUCAGGAGAAUUACUUGAGUAAUAACUUUCCAUUGGA